CUCACUAGCUAAUGCUAAUUAACCUCAAAUACUAGCCUCCGUUGUACAUGGUCGCUAACAUUAACUAUCUGUCUAACGUUGGGUAAUGCUGUGUGCUUCAUCUGCUGUUAAUUCUCUACCUACAACAUUGUAACAUGCUUUCUUAACCGCCGUUAUAUAUCAGCCUUAGCUGUCGUUCAAGUUUUUGCUUAACUACGUAGUCAAAACAAAAUUCCCUUCCGAUAUUGCUUGUGUCGACAGUGCUGCGACGGAAACCACGAUAGAUUUAGCCAGUCUAGCCACAUCUAUUCAAAAUGUAAACGAGUAAGGCGUUCUUCACGGUCGGGAAAAAUUUUAUGACCACCUUAGUCUUGUUGUUAGCCACUCUUAUGCAUAACACUUACUAGGUAGCUACCUAACGUUAGUUGCUACGCCAAAAGUAUCAUGGAUGUGUAAGAUGUGUUCACCUAAGUAAUACAGACAUAACGCUAACGAGACUUUUCAUUGCAUCUCUUAUUUUAUUUAUUCCGUGUCCAAUAAAGACACACUGUCAGGGAGGUCGGCGUGAGAGCGUGACAGUCUGUGUACUUUCCAGUAAUGCACGCAUUCACAAGGAGUCUGUUGCACACAGCUACAAUUUCACUCAAUCAACAUGUCAUAUGCACCAUUUUAAAGAAGAAUCUUGCCGCCUAGGAGAACUUUGUCAAUGUGGGCCUCCCUGGUUGACAGUCAGGAAAUGGGCUUCCCUGGUUUGACAGUCAGGAGAUGGGCCUCCCUGGUUUGACAGUCAGGAGACGUGGUUGAAAGCUCUAAGAAGGAGAUCGAAGACAUCCUGAUCCGGUACCGCGGGACCUUGUUGGUGGCCGACUCCCGCCGCUCCCGGUCCGACGAGUUUGCUGGACCCAGAGCCCGCCCUCGCUACCAGAAGUCUUACUGCUAAAAAUUCUGUCUUCGCUUUUAUAUACAAUAAAAAUGAAAAUGACCUAAAU